rnacentral:misc_RNA from 1 species
CGAUGAUGUGUUGGGGGAGUUGGGGUAAAGGGAAAUCAGAAAUUGCUCAUUGAAGAAGCAAUUUAUUGAUGAACAUAGAUGGGGAAGAGCAGCUUUGGACGUUAAAUUUGGAACUUAGAACAUAUAUGGAGAAAACGUUAAAAAGACAUGCUCAUGAAUAUGAAACGUUGCACAAUUAUUCUAAUAUGAAGCAUUACUUCUGCAUUUACUAAGUUCUUCUCCCAAUGCCCCUAAAUUUUUUUGGUCUUCUCACCCUUUUGUAUUGUUUUCCUUCAACCAUCCUCACAAACCAUUGUGGUUUUCCUGUUGCAAAUAUGAUAUAUCCCAUAGACAAUCCAAACACUAGCCCACAUCCAUAGCCCAUCAAUGCAAUUUUCCAAUCAUACCAGCAGUCUGUAGAAUCUCCUUCUUCUUGAAAUCUUGGUGAAGGUAAUUGGGGUGCCUCACCAUUGUUGCAUUUCUUUGAUAGUGGAAAUCCACACAAACCGAUGUUCCCUAUGUAGGAAUCAUUUGAAAAUGUGUUGAAUUGGUUACCUUGAGGAAUGGUUCCAUUGAGUUGGUUAUAUGAAAGAUUCAACACAGCAAGAAAUGUUAAAACUGUUAGUUGUUGAGGAAUUUCUCCAACAAGUCUGUUUUCGGAGAGGUCUAGUGAUUCAACCUCUGUCAAGUUUGCAAGCGAUGAUGGGAUAUGACCUGUUAGAUAAUUGUGAGAAAAGUUGAGCACCACCAGAGACUUCAACAUACCAACUUCUUCAGGAAUGUGUCCUUGAAAUCUAUUAUUUGAAAAAUCAAUGGCUGUGAAAAUGGUUAGUAUUUCAUUCAUUUCAAGCUCCACCCCUUUCAUUAUCAGAUCCACUGCUAAAGAAUCUUGAAAAUAAUAUGCGCUGUCCCCCGCAUAUUUUGAUCCAGCUUUAUCUUCAUUCACCUUCAUCAAAUAUUUCAGGUGCCGUAGAUACUUUGUAGGUAGAAGUCCAGUGAGUUCAUUGUGAGAGAGAUCAAGAAUUUGCAACUUGGGAAAAGGAGAUUUAGUAAUGGGAUUUCCUAUGGCACCAUGGAAGCUAUUGGAUCGCAAGAUAAGAAUUUGCAGGUCUAGAAGAUGUUGCAACCAAUGGGGAAAUGUGUCAUUUAACUUGUUGUUCCCCAAAUCCAAUAUUUGCAGCCUCCUGCAAUUCGCUAGAGAUCUUGGUAAUGGCCCUUCGAAUUUGUUGCCAUUAGCGUUCAGAUACACUAAACUACUAUCAUGUGCAAAUAUUUCAGGGAUUCUACCAAAGAAGUUAUUACCCUGCAAAUUCAAGAUAAAGAGAAAUUUAGCAAUGUCCUCUAAACAUUUUGGAAGCAAGCCUUCAAAAUCAUUGUUAGCCAAAUCAAGCGCCACAAGAGAACUCAAAUUGCAAACCAAGGAAGGGAUCUCUCCACUCAAUUGAUUGUUUGAAAUCAAGAAAAUCUCGGUCGAAUUUGGUGGUACUGGAAGUGGUCCUUUGAGGAAGUUGAAACUCAAGUCCAGAGUUCUAAUGUUGCUCCAUGGAUAUUGCUCUAUUCCAGUCAAGAAGUUGUGAGAGAGACUUAGAGUACUUAAACUUUCCCAUCCGAUUGACUUUUGCUUGGUAAUCUUGCCAUAAAUUCUAUUAUGAGAAAGAUCUAAAUAGCUCAAAUUCUCUAAGGUUUUCAAGAAAUGUGGGAAUUUUGUUAUGUUGCAAGAAGAAAGAGCCAAUGAGAAAAGGUAGGGCAAAGUAAAGUUGACAUUGCUGCUACUUCUCAAUGAUAGUUCACUGUUCCAUGAAAGAUCAAGUUGCACAAGAUUUUUGAGCUUUUGAAACAUGUUCCACUCAAUAAUGCCACUCAGGUUAUUAGAGGAAAGAAAAAGACUCUUAAGGUUCACAAGUUCAAAAAUCGAACUUGGAAUCGGGCCAUGUAACUCAUUAUCACUCAAAUCAACAUCGAGAAGAGAAAAUUGCAACUGACCGCUGAAAUUGCAGGAAGAUGGGUUUAGCAAGUCUGAUUUGCUAGGUUUAGCAAAAAUAUCAGGAAUCUGCCCAGAAAAUUGGUUGGACUUCAAAGCCAAGAAUUUGAGUUUCUCAAUCUUACCAAGUGAUGGUGGUAUAUAGCCAGAGAAAUUGUUGAAGGAGAGAUCCAAGUACUCCAAAGACUUGAGAUUGCCAAAUGCUGCUGGAAUGGAGCCAGAAAAAUUGGCGAAUGAGACAUCCAGGUACUUCAAGGACUCGAGAUUGACAAGUGCUGCUGGCAUCGAGCCAGAAAAAUUGGUGAAUGAGAAAUCUAAGUACUUCAAGGACUUGAGAUCGCCAAGUGAUGUUGGUAUUAAGCUAAAGAAAUUGUUGAAUGAAAGAUCCAAGUACUCCAAGGACAUGAGAUUGCCCACUGUUGCUGGAAUUGAGCCAAAGAAAUUGUUGUUUGAAAAAUCGAAGUGCUUCACGGACUCAAGAUUGCCAAGUGAUGCUGGAAUUGAACCAAAGAAACGGUUGAAUGAGAGAUCUAAGUACUCCAAUGACAGGAGAUUGAUUAUCGAAUCUGAAAGCUCUCCUGACGAACUCAUCUCAUGGAUAUCUAAGAACCUUAAUGAAGCAGACAAUUUAGCUUCUGAAAUAUUAAUGACCAAAUCAAAGUUGGACGAAAUGUCGAGUACCUCAAGGGACUGAAAGUGCAAAAAAUCUCCUGGUAAAUUCCCCUGCAAAAAACAAUUUGAGAGAUGAAGAGAUUUCAAAGAAGAAGAAAGGUUCAACAAAGAUUUAGGUGCAACCAAAGACAUAUCUACAUAACGUAGAUCCAGAACAAUCAAUUUCGUAAGGUUUCUCGAUAGUUUUUCAAAUCCAUGAUUGUGAAAUUUCAGGAUUUUAUCAGAGUCAGAAUUGAAAGACAAAUCAAGUGAAACCAAUUUGGACAGGCGGGAAAUUUCAGGAGGAAUUUGGCCUGAGAAUAAACAACUGGAGAGAUUAAGGUGCGUCAAAUUUGCGAAUAAACCAAACCCAGAUGAUAUAGAACCACUGAGACGACUCCAAGCGAGGUUGAGCUUCUGGAGGUGUGGCAAGAGAAAAAGGGUACUGGUGGGAGUGAUGGUGCCAUAAAGCGCAUGGCAGCUAAGGUCCAUGCCAAUCACAUGACCUGUCAACCUAUCACAUGUGAUACCAUCCCAAGAGCAGCAAUCUGUAGCCUCCACCCAAGUCUUAUUCAGAGGGUGUGCCUUGUCACAAAAGGAAUAAUAAGAAUCAUCAUCUUCAAUGAUUAGUGAAUCCUUGAAUUUAAGCAAGGCUGAUCUCUCAUUUGGAUGGCAGCUUUUUGCUAAAGAUGAUGAACAAUGUUGCUGAAAAUGCAAGAAGGAGAAGAACAAGAGGUGUUGAAGAUAGCAGGGCCAUGGAAGUUUCAUAUCCAACUAUCCAAUGCUCUAUAAGGGGAAAACAAGUUUUUUU